AAUUCGCCCUUAGAGUUUGAUCCUGGCUCAGAUUGAACGCUGGCGGCAUGCCUUACACAUGCAAGUCGAACGGUAACGCGGGGCAGCCUGGCGACGAGUGGCGAACGGGUGAGUAAUAUAUCGGAACGUGCCCAGUCGUGGGGGAUAACUGCUCGAAAGAGCAGCUAAUACCGCAUACGACCUGAGGGUGAAAGCGGGGGAUCUUCGGACCUCGCGCGAUUGGAGCGGCCGAUAUCAGAUUAGGUAGUUGGUGGGGUAAAGGCCUACCAAGCCGACGAUCUGUAGCUGGUCUGAGAGGACGACCAGCCACACUGGGACUGAGACACGGCCCAGACUCCUACGGGAGGCAGCAGUGGGGAAUUUUGGACAAUGGGGGCAACCCUGAUCCAGCCAUGCCGCGUGCGGGAAGAAGGCCUUCGGGUUGUAAACCGCUUUUGUCAGGGAAGAAAUCCUUUGGGCUAAUAACUCGGAGGGAUGACGGUACC
rnacentral:rRNA from 1 species